GUUCCAGUUGCGUAAUGGGUAGCGCGUUGGACUUCUAAUUCAAAAUUGUGGGUUCGAUUCUCACCUGAGACG